GAGUUCAGAAUUUCUCGUUGUAACGUGUGCCACAUCGGUCCAAUGCCCGAGACCGCGCCAAGCUUCGUGAAUAACGACAAGGAGAUCGUUCGGCGUCUCUUUGACGGAAGGGAUUGGUGAACCGUGAUUGGGUAGCGAGAUUUGCCUUGAUCCCCGUUGCAAAAGGUCACUGGAGUCUUUCGCGGGAGGCUGUUUGGGAUUUCAGGAGGAAUGGCUGGAGAAACUCUCCAAAGACUCGUGAGCGAAUUUCUCGUCCUCAUCGUCGCCUCAUUGAACAUCGCUCGGGGAGCGAAGGAGAAUGACGGCGGCCAUGCGGACGAAAAUCGUCCUCAUGUACACGCCUCGACCGAUUUGCACAUAUAUCUGGGAGUGAGUAAUCUCAUCAUUGUCGUCAUCGUCCUGGGAUUCUGGCUGCACAGAGUCUCCCGGAGGACUCCGUGAGGCAGGAGCCGCAUGUUCAUCAACUCCUGCCGGGUCUCGGCCGAGACCCUUGAUGCGACCUCCUGGCAGGGAUCCGGUAACGGGCAUCCCUCUCGUCAUAGACCACGAGAUUCGCCUCCAUUAUUCAAUAAACUGACUCAUGUU